ensembl:lncRNA
GUGAAAUAUAUCAAAGACACUAAGUUACACUUAGGAUUUAAGCAACUUCCCCAAUUCAACUGUAUCAAACGAAAAGAAGACAACACAUGAGAUUUUUAUUAAUUCUUUAGAUAAGAAAAGAAAGGGAAAUUCCUCUUAAACCAUCUGAAGCCAACAGCUGUAAAGUAACCCAUUCUACCUUCCUGAUCCACUCCCAAAGCCAGCUCCCUCCUGUUUCCCACUGCGGCAUCUGGAAGCCGGCUGAUUAUAAACAGGUCCCCUGCACCCUGCAUCUCUUCAGUCCCCAACUCCACCUGAAAGGAAACCCAACCCUUCACCCAGGAAACUUUCCCGCACAGCCCUCAGGAGUGAAAGCUACUCAUUCUCCCAGACUUUCUAUUUCCCUACCUUUCUUAGGCAAAUCCCCUCUCCCUACUUGGAAGCUCAGCACUAAUGGCAAUAUCAUCAUCCCUCCAUCUAUCCAUCCAAUAAAUUUGUACUUAAUGCCUGCUAUGUGGUAGCUAACAGGCUCCAGAACAGUAAAUCCUCAUGGGGUUAAAAUCUCGCGAGACAAACAUGAAACAAAUAAUCACACAAAUAACUAAUUGCCAAUUAUGAAAGAAAAGAAGAGGAAGGUACACAAGAUAAUGAGUAGGAUUUAGUUAGGCCAUGAGUAGGGGAAAGAGCAUUUUGAGAUGCGAAAAAAGAAAGGAAUGAACUCGUUCUCAGGAAACCAGGUACAACUGGGCAUAGUGGGUGAGGGGAGCGGUAUGAGAGGGCAGGGAAGAGGUGGGCAGGGCCUUGAGGCCAUGGAUGUGAGGGCCAGAACACGCAGGGCCUUGAGGGUCAUGGUGAGGACUUUGGAUUUUACUCUAAAUGCAAUCAGAAACCAUUGAUAGAGUUUCAAAACUUCAUUCCUUAUCACAGUCAUCUACUCCUAUGCUCACACUUAACCAGGAUGCUUGUUCCUCAGCUCUAUCCCAAUUCCUUCCACAUCCUAGAUAGCUUCAACAUCCAAGCCUUCUCAGGGACUCAAGCUCCUGGACUCCAGUGACCUCCAUCUCUACCUCCAGCACACUUCUCUUCACUUUUUCCUUGUCCACAACCACUCCACCUCUGAAAAUCAAAUUCCAAUAUUUCAUUCUCAGACCACGACCUCUCACCAAUCCUACUCUUCCACUCCCUACACCUCUCAUGCCUGUCCUCCAACCUUUUAACAUUUUUUAUUAUCAGAUUAGAAAAAAAAUUGAAAGCAGAGAAACUCAUCAAAAUAAUUGAGAAGUUUUUACUAUUUACCCCAUCCCUACCACAGCAUGUAGGCUUCCCUUUCUCCAUGCUUAUACCAACAUAUGUGAACUUACAUACACAAAUAGAGAGAUGCUUGUUUUCAUUACAAAAGGUGAACCAUAACAAAUACAAAAUUCUGUGACUUUUCUUCACCUAAAAAUAAACAUCAUGGACAAUCUCAAGCCAGUAGAUACAGACUGAACUAAUUCUUUAAACUGCUCCACCUCAUUCAAGGUACAGAUGCUCCCUGGGUUCCCCUCCAAAGAGACUUUACUUGUUUUUUGCUACGACAAACUUGCUGAUGCCAGAAAACCUUGAAGCGGGUUCUCCAGUGGAAUGAAGUGUUUCCAAUCUUUGUAGUUGGAAAAGAGCGGCUGCUUGUGACUGAAAAAGUCUGGGAGCAGAGUGGGUUCUCAUAGCAAGCACUUCAGCAGAGGGUAACAGGUCCAGGCGCACAACAACUGAAGCCCUCGUACCUUUCACCACUUGGCCUGCUACUGCCCAAGAAAUGUGCCAGGCGGCUGGCAGGUAGUGAGGGAACCACGACCAUGGGGAGAGAAGGAAAAUCAACACUCACGUAUGGGGUUUGGAAAGAAAGACUGUCAGCAGAACAGAAACAGGAGAUGCCUAGUGAAGCAGAACCAAUGGAAGAAGAAUGGAAGAGAAUUUUAAUGAAAAUAUAAUGGAAUUUCAGUUCUAAAAGACAAAAAAAUUGAGGACGAGCCCGGUGGCGCAGCAGUUAAGUGCGCACGUUCCGCUUCUCGUUGGCCUGGGGUUCGCCGGUUCGGAUCCCCGGUGCGGAGAUGGGACCGCUUGGCAAAAGCCAUGCUGUGGCAGGCGUCCCACAUAUAAAGUAGAGGAAGAUGGGCAGGAUGUUAGCUCAGGGCCAGUCUUCCUCAGCAAAAAGAGGAGGAUUGGCAGCAGUUAGCUCAGGGCUAAUCUUCCUCAAAAAUAAAACCCCCCAAAAAAGCAAAAACAAAAAAAUCCCACAAACCCCAACACUUUUAGGAACUAAAAAAUAUGGUUUCUUAAUUAUAAAUUCAAUAUCCAACAGAAAAAGAGAAUGACUGCCCUUGAGAACCACAUUAGUGGUCAGAAAAAUCAGGUGGAAGAAAUAUCUCACAAGAAACCCUAUGACAGGCACCCCAAGGGAAAAGGCAAGUUGCACAGAGGUCAGAUCCAGGGGACCAAAUGAGAAGGAAAGGAAUAUGUAGAGAAGUAAUAAUCACAUAAAUAAUGGAAGAAAACUUUUAGAACUUAAGAAAGUCAUGAGGCUCUGAAUGUCAAGGAUAGAAGGAAAAUCCUGCCAGACUUUAGUACUGUGGGACAAGGGCUUUCUGGGAUGGUGGAAAGCUGGAAAUGGAGACACUCCUCAGGGACACCAGGGCACUGACUCUGGGCUGAGUUUGGUUCACACCCCAGAAGAGCCCAACGUCUGUGCUUAACGUCCACAUGGAAACAGUAAGCACAGGGACUGUUAAAGUUCUUCUAGGGUCUAGCAAACUCCCUUUGUUGUCCCAUGUCUCUAGCAUCUCAGUGCCAACCUUAGGGACUUUGUGAUAGCCUUUUCUUUCCACAGUCUAUCUAAAACAUUGCAAGUUCCAAUUUUUAAAUGCCAUAUACACAAAUUACUGCAAUAAACAUUAAAAAUAUUAAAAAAGAGAAAGUAUUUGUAGAUGAGGUAAAUGCAUGACUGUUAAAAGUAACCAAUACCUUUAUUUAUGAAACAUAUAUGAAAGUAGUAUGGUCAGAGUUAAGAGCAGAGGCUCUGGACGACUGCCACUUACUAGCUGUGUGACCUUGGGCUGUGUUUUGGUUUCCUGAAAAGUAAAUGGAAUUAAUAGCAGCUGUCUCAUCAAGUGUAAAGACUACAUGGG